AUUGAACGCUGGCGGCAGGCCUAACACAUGCAAGUCGAGCGGGGUUUUCGGACCUAGCGGCGGACGGGUGAGUAAUGCGUAGGAAGCUGCCCGAUAGAGGGGGAUACCAGUUGGAAACGACUGUUAAUACCGCAUAAUGUCUACGGACCAAAGUGUGGGACCUUCGGGCCACAUGCUAUCGGAUGCGCCUACGUGGGAUUAGCUAGUUGGUGAGGUAAUGGCUCACCAAGGCGACGAUCUCUAGCUGGUUUGAGAGGAUGAUCAGCCACACUGGAACUGAAACACGGUCCAGACUCCUACGGGAGGCAGCAGUGGGGAAUAUUGGACAAUGGGCGCAAGCCUGAUCCAGCCAUGCCGCGUGUGUGAAGAAGGCCUUCGGAUUGUAAAGCACUUUCAGCGAGGAGGAAGGGUGGUGUGUUAAUAGCACAUCAUUUUGACGUUACUCGCAGAAGAAGCACCGGCUAACUCUGUGCCAGCCGCCGCCGUAAAAC
rnacentral:rRNA from 1 species